CCUACGGGAGACAGCAGUGGGGAAUAUUGCACAAUGGGGGAAACCCUGAUGCAGCGACGCCGCGUGAGUGAAGAAGUAUUUCGGUAUGUAAAGCUCUUUCAGCAGGGAAGAAAAUGACGGUAUCUGAUUAAUAAGCACCGGCUAACUACGUGCCAGCAGCCGCGGUAAUACGUAGGGGGCAAGCGUUAUGCGGAGUUACUGGGUGUAAAGGGAGCGCAGACGGCAGCACAAGUCAGGAGUGAAAUGCCGGGGCUUAACCCCGGAACUGCAUUGGAAACUGUGAGGCUAGAGUGCAGGAGAGGUAGGUGGAAUUCCUGGUGUAGCGGUGAAAUGCGUAGAUAUUAGGAGGAAGACCAAUUGCGAAGGCGGCCUACUGGAA
rnacentral:rRNA from 1 species